rnacentral:misc_RNA from 1 species
GCAAACUUGGUCAUUUAGAGGAAGUAAAAGUCGUAACAAGGUCUCCGUAGGUGAACCUGCGGAGGGAUCAUUGACGAAUGGCUCGGCGCCUUCGAACCCCCUUCUAACCCCGUGGAAUAGAGCCGUGUGUGCUUCGGGGCCCCCUAGGCCGGGGCCCCGCCUUCAUGCCCGUCUGCCUUAUGUCCGAGAUUGUGCAAAAGAAAUCAAAACUUUCAACAGAGGAUCUCUUGGCUCUCGCAUCGAUGAAGAACGCAGC